rnacentral:lncRNA from 1 species
CGACGCCACCCUGACCCUGGACUCCCUGACCGCUGAGUCCGGUGGCCAGCUCAAGAACCGCGUGCGCACCUGGAUCGCCGGCUCCAUCAUGACCGCCGCCGUCAACUGCUUCCUGAUCAUCGCCCUGGGCAUGACCGAGGCCCAGGUGGAGGCUAUCUCCGGCGAGAAGGCCACCGCUGUUUAAUGCGCCUGGUGCGUAGUGUUACGCGAGUGUGAGCAGCUGACCUGAUGAGCGUGACCCACUUUGCCGCUGCCAUUGUGCGGUGGCCUGACCUGACUGAGUGACAUCUAAAUUUGGGCUGUUUCUUAUUGCGCAUCCGCGAAUGACCUCUCGGACCAACUGACGGAAAAUAACGAGCGUGGUGGACAUCCUCCUGCGACACGAGCGUUGCGUGGCCACUUAAC